rnacentral:rRNA from 1 species
CGCACGGGUGAGUAACACGUAUCCAACCUGCCGUCUACUCUUGGACAGCCUUCUGAAAGGAAGAUUAAUACAAGAUGGCAUCAUGAGUCCGCAUGUUCACAUGAUUAAAGGUAUUCCGGUAGACGAUGGGGAUGCGUUCCAUUAGAUAGUAGGCGGGGUAACGGCCCACCUAGUCUUCGAUGGAUAGGGGUUCUGAGAGGAAGGUCCCCCACAUUGGAAUUGAGACACGGUCCAA